UAAUCAAAUCCUGGACCUUGGGGUUAUCAGCACCAAGCUCUAACCAACUGAGCUAACCAGCCAGCCCUGGAUAUCUUAACAGCUUGGAUACAGCACUCGCAACCCAAUGUGAGUCCCUGAUCACACUGAACGGCAUCAGUGUAGAGUCAUGUAGACCAUUGUACUACUUUGCCUUUGAUUCUGAGUGAGAUGAGAAGCCACUGGCGGUGUCUGAGCAGAAUGCACAUUCUCCAAAAGGGGAAGACUUCAGGAAGAGCAGGCGGCGAACUGCAGGAGUUGCCAGUGUUUUUUGGCCCUUUAUCUCUUGGUGUGUGUGUUCAUCAUGGGACACAGCAGGAGUUUCAACAACAUCUUCUUCUGAAUCUGGUAACAAGGUAUGCUUUACAAGCCUUUUCCAGAUAUUCUUGGCAAACGAAACAGGAAGAAUGGGACCAAACCUAAAACACUACAUAUAAUUUUGAUUCUAAUACCAUUCUUGACAUGUCUAGCACAUUUCUGACUUAUUACUAUC